UACGAAGGGUGCGAGCGUUGUUCGGACUUACUGGGCGUAAAGGGUUCGUAGGCGGGAGCCUAAGUAGCGUGUGAAAUCCCCGGGCUCAACCCGGGACGUGCACGCUAAACUGGGCUUCUUGAGUAUCGGAGAGGGUCAUGGAAUUGCUGGUGUAGGAGUGACAUCCGUAGAGAUCAGCAGGAACACCGGAGGCGUAAGCGAUGACCUGGCCCGAAUACUGACGCUGAGGAACGAAAGCGUGGGGAGCGAACAGG
rnacentral:rRNA from 1 species